UACGUAGGUGGCAAGCGUUAUCCGGAUUUAUUGGGCGUAAAGGGGACGCAGGCGGUCUUUUAAGUCUGAUGUGAAAGCCUUCGGCUUAACCGGAGUAGUGCAUUGGAAACUGGGAGACUUGAGUGCAGAAGAGGAGAGUGGAACUCCAUGUGUAGCGGUGAAAUGCGUAGAUAUAUGGAAGAACACCGGUGGCGAAGGCGGCCUGCUGGACUGCAACUGACGUUGAGGCCCGAAAGCGUGGGGAGCAAACAGG
rnacentral:rRNA from 1 species